UCGCCACGGUUCACAUAAUCAACAAGGUGGCGCUGAUUUAGUUGCUCCCUCGAGUCGAAACCGGAGCUGGGGGCUCUGAAUUCUCGGGGGCGCAGAGUGUCGCGUAACACCUGUAAACACACGGCGAUGAUUGAAACUCAUCUGCGCGCGAGCGCCCUGCCUCUUUUCCUGCCACAGCCGCGCGCAGCCACUUCCUGGUGGAUGAGGCAGCUCCAGUGCUGUCGUAGUAAGCGGCGGGGGCAGCUGUUGAUGGUCUGCAGUCGCGGCCCAGCAGGUAGUUCACGCCAGCGCACUUUUUCCCCCGUUCCGAGGAGGGAGCGGAACAAAUAAAAUGGGAAGCACGGCGAUGGAGUCCGGCAAGGACGGCGCAAAGAAAAUGCCCAAGAAGAGGAGAGGUCUGCGGAUCAACAUGCCAGACUUUGGCGCGUUCACGUCCGCACAGGUGGAGAUGAGUUGCUCGACCAAAGGUGGCGCUCAGACGGCAGAGCGUUGCGUCAGCUCGGCCGGCCCCACCGUCGGAGCGUCCACGAGGAGCCCCCCCGGCGCGGGGGCCGGCGCCGCGCUGCCCCCGUGUCCCCAGUCGGCCCCGGUGCAGCUGAAGGCCAGCUCGGGUUCGCCCAGGACCGUGUUCCCCUACCCCUCCCACCAGGACUCGCCGCCCAAGUCCCCCCGACGCCUGAGCUUCAGCGGGAUCUUCCGCACGUCGUCCGGCUCCUCACCUGCGGGCCUGAAAAUCUUCUCCAGAGCCAGGAGAGCCUCUGGGAUCUCCACACCGCCGACCACCCCGACCCAGGCGUCCAGCCAGCCUGUUUUCACUCAGGACGUCCAGCAGAGCGGGCCCAGUCCUGAACGCCUGGAGCCGAGCAGCCGCUCCCGCUCCCUCUCCACACCCCCCGACACCGGACAGCGCCUCGGCCUCCCCUUCGCUAAGCCUCCCAUCCCUUCCCCGAGCACAGUCUCAUCUUACUCUACCUCACACCAAGUCUACGGCUUUUUCGAAGGCAUGCUGGAGAAACUUGAACUUGACGACGACGCUGCUGAACCUGAGAGUGAUAUUUACAUGCGCUUUAUGAAAUCCCACAAGUGCUAUGACAUUGUCCCCACGAGCUCCAAGCUGGUCGUGUUCGACACAGCACUGCAAGUUAAGAAAGCGUUCUUUGCCUUGGUGGCCAACGGCGUACGAGCUGCUCCAUUGUGGGACACAGAGAAGCAGAGCUUUGUGGGAAUGCUGACAAUCACAGAUUUCAUCAUCAUACUACACAGAUACUAUAAGUCACCCAUGGUGCAAAUUUAUGAGUUAGAGGAGCAUAAGCUUGAGACAUGGAGAGAGGUUUACCUUCAAGCGACCUUCAAACCUCUGGUCAACAUAUCACCUGAUGCGAGCUUGUUUGACGCAGUGUACACCCUCAUCAAAAACAAAAUUCACCGUCUGCCUGUCAUCGACCCCGUCACAGGGAACGCACUUUAUAUUCUCACACAUAAGAGGAUCCUCAAGUUCCUCCAGCUCUUUAUGUGUGAAAUGCCAAAGCCGGCUUUCAUGAAGCAGACCCUCGGGGAGCUCGGCAUCGGUACGUACCACGACAUCGCUUUCAUCCACCCGGACACACCCAUCAUCAAAGCGCUUAAUAUCUUCGUGGAGAGACGAGUGUCUGCUUUGCCUGUAGUGGAUGACUCUGGCAAAGUUGUGGAUAUUUACUCCAAGUUUGAUGUCAUUAACCUGGCUGCUGAGAAAACCUACAACAACCUGGACAUUUCCGUGACGCAGGCCCUGAAGCAUCGCUCCCAGUACUUCGAAGGCGUGGUGAAGUGUCACAAGAUGGAGACGAUGGAGACCAUAGUGGACCGAAUCGUGAAGGCAGAAGUGCAUCGGCUGGUGGUCGUGGACGAGCGCUCCAGCAUCGAAGGCAUCAUCUCGCUGUCGGACAUCCUCCAGGCCCUGGUGCUCAGCCCUGCAGGUAUAGAUGCUCAGCACUGGUAGCCCCGCCCCCCCUUCUGUCCCGGACCCUGAGCUCUCUCCCCCCCCUCCCCACCUGCCCUGUAACUCGGCCCCAGACGCCUGCAAGGAGGAGAACCUGACCGGAUGAGACGAGGGGCGCGUCGGUUGGUGGGAGCGAAUUUGUGCGACGGUUGAAGUGUGAGGCGUUCACAGUCUGAAGGUCCCGGAGACGCCCACAGCUGAUGCACUGCAGAGGCCUGGAAGCCGCGGCGCCGGACGGCGGCGCCGGGUGGAGUUCCCGCGCUCGCGGCCGAUCCUCCGAAUUAACUUUUUUUUUUUUUGUUUGUUUGUUUGAACACUGAUGCACAGCACACAGUAUACGUAACUAUAUCUAUACUGUACAUACACGCACACUUGGAUUGUGGGCACCUGGGGGAGGUGGCAGGCCGACAGUAGGUUUUAGUCCCAUUCAGUGAAUGUGAAUCAUCACCACAAAGACUGAAGGAACGCUCACAGAUGCAGCUUCUCGUAGCAAAGCUGUCCUUCGCUCCGUGGCCGUUGUCAUUUAAACACUUUGCCAACGUGGAGCGCUCAGUCUUUGUUUGUGCCUUUUGCUUUGCUCUGCUCGCGCCGUUAAAACGGUUCCACUUUACAACGGAGGCGUCACCUACUUUUUUUUUUUUUCCAACUUUUGCUCACCUUAGCAUUUAAAAUCGUGACGCAUCCGUAGUUUCUAAUAAUAAAAAUGGAAAUAAUUUUGGUGAAAGUGUGCAGUGGUCGACACGCGGUAGCGACGUAGUCACGGCAAUUUAAAGAUGCAUUUUGCAACGUUACGAGAACACGGAUGAUGACUUUUAACAGAUAACUAUGUUUUUUUUUUUUCUUCUCCCUUCACAUAAUCUGAAUCUUAAGAACGCGCGAGGCAACCGUUAUCUCAGCUGUAGCUCGACAGGACUCAUCUCCACCUCCUAGUGCGAAAACGCUCGUUUUAGAGAAACGUGUCACAGAAAGCUUUAUUUUUAUGAAUGUUUGAAGAGACCGCAGUUGUAAUUAUUAUUUUUGUAAAUAAAUCUGUGGUGGCGUUACGUCCACGUCAGCAUCUUUGUAUCGGAUCAACAUGUACUGUAAAUGUGCAAACAUGACAGAUGACACUUCAGCCGUAUGAAUGUUCUUUUUGUUUUACUUUUUUUCUAUUUUUCUGACGGCAGAAAAAUAAAUGGACACUGAAUGUA